rnacentral:rRNA from 1 species
AUUGAACGCUGGCGGCAUGCCUUACACAUGCAAGUCGAACGGCAGCACGGGGGCAACCCUGGUGGCGAGUGGCGAACGGGUGAGUAAUACAUCGGAACGUAUCCUGUUGUGGGGGAUAACUAGUCGAAAGAUUAGCUAAUACCGCAUGACCUCGGAAGAGAAAAGCAGGGGACCUGGAGACGGGCCUUGCGCGAUUGGAGCGGCCGAUGUCCGAUUAGCAGUUGGUGGGGUAAAGGCCUACCAAGGCGACGAUCGGUAGCUGGUCUGAGAGGAUGAUCAGCCACACUGGGACUGAGACACGGCCCAGACUCCUACGGGAGGUAGCAGUGGGGAAUUGUUCACAAUGGGCGCAAGCCUGAUGACGCAACGCCGCGUGGGGGAUGAAGGUCUUCGGAUCGUAAACCCCUGUCGAAUGGGACGAAGACUCGCGAGUGAAUACUUCGCGAGAGUGACGGUA